rnacentral:piRNA from 1 species
UAGAAGCCUGACAAAACGAAUUGUGGUUU